UCAAAGAGCAACAAGUUGGAAUAUCUGGCUGGCAUUCGACACCAUUAUAGCCAUCAGUUUUGUUCCAGGCACCCAAGCAAAGCUUUUGAAUAGCAUUUUUCUGUUAGGAAGCAACAACUGAAGUGCACCAUGUACAGGAGACCUUUGGAAUAACUGAAUUCAUUGAUUAGUUUUACUACUUCCUUCUGCCACCAAAUGUGGUCGGGUGGACCUUUUUUAUUUGAUGUUCAGGUUGAAGCAGUUCCAAGUUCUGUGUUUGAAGAGAACUUUAAUUGGCAUUUCAAGAUGUGCUUUCUCUGUACAACUGACUUCCCUCUUUUAAAUUUAAUUUGUACUCAUAUCUUUUUGGAAACCGAGGUUCAUGCAAUGUUUUUGUGAGGCAUCCUCGGGUAAUAAACUGGUUCUUGUAUUUUAGUGAAAACAGGAGCUGAAAGUUAGUAGUGGACGGUGGAGACUGAUGAUGGCCGGUCGCAUCGCUGCUUCUCGUACGUCUUUUGAUCCUUUGAGUGAUCUUUCAACUAUGUAAAUCUCUUAACUUGCUUGUUGUUGUUGGUUUUUUUUUUUUGGUCGCUGUUCUAUCCGACAGGGAUUGUUGUAAAAUGGGUUGUUGACAGAUUCACUUGGUAAAUGUUAUUUUGAGUGUUUGAUUCAGAUGAA